rnacentral:rRNA from 1 species
CCUACGGGUGGCAGCAGUGAGGAAUAUUGGUCAAUGGACGAGAGUCUGAACCAGCCAAGUAGCGUGAAGGAUGACUGCCCUAUGGGUUGUAAACUUCUUUUAUAAAGGAAUAAAACGAGGCACGUGUGCCUGUUUGCAGGUACUUUAUGAAUAAGGAUCGGCUAACUCCGUGCCAGCAGCCGCGGUAAUACGGAGGAUCCGAGCGUUAUCCGGAUUUAUUGGGUUUAAAGGGAGCGUAGAUGGGGUGUUAAGUCAGUUGUGAAAGUUUGCGGCUCAACCGGAAAAGUGCAAUUGAUACUGGCAGUCUUGAGUAGAGUUGAGGUAAGCGGAAUUCGUGGUGUAGCGGUGAAAUGCUUAGAUAUCACGAAGAACCCCGAUUGCGAAGGCAGCUUACUAACCUGUGACUGACAUUGAGGCUCGAAAGUGUGGGUAUCAAACAGGAUUAGAUACCCGAGUAGUC